UACAGAGGGUGCGAGCGUUACUCGGAAUUACUGGGCGUAAAGCGUGCGUAGACGGCUAUCUAAGUCGGGUGUGAAAGCCCCAGGCUCAACCUGGGAAUUGCAUUCGAGACUGAAUAGCUAGGGUACGGUAGAGGGAAGCGGAAUUUCCGGUGUAGCGGUGAAAUGCGUAGAUAUCGGAAGGAACAUCAGUGGCGAAAGCGGCUUCCUGGACCAGUACCGACGUUCAGGCACGAAAGCGUGGGGAUCAAACAGG
rnacentral:rRNA from 1 species